rnacentral:misc_RNA from 1 species
UAUAAGUGUUUUAUGGCACUUUUUAAUCCAUAUCCACCUUGUGUGCAAUGUUCGGUCGAUAUCUUCUUUUUUUGAGGAUCGACCAAACAUCAACCUUUAUUUUUUAACUCUUUGUCUGAAAAAUAUUAUGAAUAAACAAUUCAAAAUA